GGAAUUGUUCGCAAUGGGCGCAAGCCUGACGACGCAACGCCGCGUGGAGGAUGAAGAUCUUCGGGUCGUAAACUCCUUUCGACCGAGAUGAACACUCGCUGACCUAAUACGUCGGCGAGCUGACAGUAUCGAGGGAAGACGCCCCGGCUAACUCCGUGCCAGCAGCCGCGGUAAUACGGGGGGGGCAAGCGUUGUUCGGAAUUACUGGGCGUAAAGGGUUCGUAGGUGGCCUGCUAAGUCAGACGUGAAAUCCCUCAGCUCAACUGGGGAACUGCGUCUGAUACUGGCGCGCUUGAGUGCAGGAGAGGAACGCGGAAUUCCAGGUGUAGCGGUGAAAUGCGUAGAUAUCUGGAGGAACACCGGUGGCGAAGGCGGCGUUCUGGACUGUUACUGACACUGAGGAACGAAAGCCAGGGGAGCAAAC
rnacentral:rRNA from 1 species